rnacentral:lncRNA from 1 species
AGGAAGAAAAAACCCAGAAAAACAGAGGAAAAACCAAGAAAACGCAAGCCACACACAGAGCAAAAACCCAGACCCAAAUUCGAAAGGAGAAGCCAGCACCGUCCUCUGUUCUUCAUCACAAGGACUGAUCAGCAGACAGAGAAGGAGAAAAAGGCAGAGGAGAGUCACAGAUCAGCCCUGCCAUUGUCUUCGUCCCUGCAGAAAAAGAACAACAAAGAACCAAAGACUAUUGACAACCGGCAUCACCAUUGUCUACUUUCCUUCAUCUCAAAACCAGAGGAGACAGAACGCAAUCAAAGAAAGAAGCAGAAGGAAAGAACACAAGCA